rnacentral:rRNA from 1 species
CCGAUCUCCCAACCCUUGUAUUCUUAACCGAUUUGCUUUGGCGGACCCGUCACUGCUGUGACCGCCGAAGGGAUACAAAUGGGGUUUUUUCAUUUGAAACAACCCCCCGUUCCCCUGGGCCCGUGUCCGCCAGAGAUGCAUGAAUGCUUGUUAUGAAUUAAGCUGUCUGAGUGAUAAGAAGAAUAAGUCAAAACUUUCAACAACGGAUCUCUUGGUUCCGGCAUCGAUGAAGAACGCAGCGAAAUGCGAUAAGUAAUGUGAAUUGCAGAAUUCCGUGAAUCAUCGAAUCUUUGAACGCACAUUGCGCCCUCUGGUAUUCCGGAGGGCAUGCCUGUCCGAGCGUCAUUGCUGUUCCUCAAGCCCGGCUUGUGUGUUGGGCCUGCCGUCCUAUGGACGGUGACCCGAAAAGCAGUGGCGGCGUCGCGUCCGGUCCUUAAGCGUAUGGGGCUUUGUCACCCGCUUUGGAUGGCCGGCCGACUCCGUAGCCCAUCGUGGUUUACCACAUUCUUUGAUGGACCUCGGAUCAGGUAGGGAUACCCGCUGAACUUAAGCAUAUCA